GACGGGCGCCAGGACGCGCGGGGCAGGGCGCCGGGGUGGACGGGAGCUCGCUGGUGAAGCCAGGGCCCUGUCGGUGACGCGGGGCUCGGGGGUGUCCUCCUUUUACUAAAGCAGCACCGAGAAGUUUGGGGGCCUAAUUAAUACACACUUCUUUAAAGAACCAGGGCCCCGAGGAGGGUCCUCCGCAGCGGGUACAGACACCGCCCUCUAAUGAGUCCCUGGCUCCCGGGUCCCAGACCCGCACACGGAAAAGGUCCUGACCCUAAAGCAGAUUAUUCUCAAUGGGAAACGUGAACCUAGGAGGUCACCAUCAGGAAUAGCGAUCAUUAAACCUUUAGCGUCUGUACGUGUUGAAAUUCUCGUAAUUCUUGUGACCUACGUUUUGCAUUCAGACACGUACAGUGUUUAUUAGUGUAAGAAGGUUCAAGUCGGGGGUGAAACCUAUAAACCCUGUCUCAAGAAAAGAAAAAGGUCCGCAGAGGUGGUUCAAUCCCUUUACACCAAAGGGGAAAAAAGCUGAUACGUUAGGGCCGGGGUAGGGGUGCAGGUGACCCUCUGGGUAGAGCACUUGCCAUAGACAACCAACGCCCUCAUUUGAUUCCCAGCACAGCAAAUAGCCAAAAACAAAAAGCUUUUGUGCAUGUUUCUGUAAAAUAAGACUUAACAGUGAAUGUGAAUUUUAAUAGACUAUGAUAGUUUGGCCCUCAAAUGGUGUGGUUAAUUUAUUGCAUCUGGAGCCUUCUACUUUGCGUAAGGAGCCCACCUGACAUCAAAUCCUAUCUGAUUUUGCAGCCACUCCCCUAAAUGGAUACAAAUGGUUGUGAAAGCUGUGAGCACCCGUUCUUGGUGUCUUCUCUCCUGUGUGGCUGUUUUGACCAGUAAGGACCAGAAUUCCACUCUUGCAUCGAGCUGCUUUUCUCUAACCACACAUGCUAUAGAGUUCCCUUCCCAGGGGAGAACCAUGGUAAACAAAAGCAAAAACCUGGACUACACAAAGGACCAAAUCAAGCCAAGCCAUCAAUUCCUAGAGAUAUGUGCUGUUUUGGAAGAAACACUCAGCAGAAAAAUCUUUUGUCUUUUUCAUUUUGAGAUGGUUAUUUUCUAGUCACCGGGACACAGUACCUGACAUCCAGAAGUAAAGGAGGAGAGUUUAUUUGUAGACAGUCUGUAGACAUUUCAGUCCUUAGUUGGCUGGCUCCAAAGCGAAGUGGCACGGCAGAGAAGAAACAGCCCAUAGCGGGGCAGGCAGGAAGCAGAAAGCAAUCAAGGGAGGAGGAGGGAGAUGGAUGCUUUCAGGCCACGCCCCCAGUGGCCCACCUACUUCUACCAGGCUCCAACUUUCAACCUGACGUUUAGCUGUAAGCUCAUCCGUGGACUAACCCGUAAGUAUCGCACACCCACGAUCCAGUCACCUCCCCAACCCAGACCUGUGAGGACGUGAGGCUUUGGGGUACAUCUAGAUAAAACUACAACAGGCAAGGUUCCUCGGACUUGUGAUUCUCCAGCUUCAGCCUCCCAGAAUACUAAGAUUGCCGGCAUCGCCGCCAUGCUUGGCUUCAGAGCAGAAAAUUCUGUUUUUUUUUGUUUGUUUGUUUUUGGUUAUUUGAGACAGGGUCUCACUAUG